ensembl:miRNA
AGUAUUGGGUUGGCCAAAAAGUUCAUUCAGGUUUUUCCGUAAGAUGUUAAUGGGAAAACCGAAACGAACUUUAUGGCCAACCUAAUUAA